UUUCCGGCUCUGAGUGAGAAUCUCGGGUCAAUUCGCGGCUCGCACGGAUCCGCAGGUCUCUUGAGUUUGCAAUGUUUCCGGCUCUGAGUGAGAAUCUCGGGUCAGUUCUCGCGCAGAUCAGCCGGUUACGAGUGGAUCUGUAGUGCGAGCGAAGUCUCAUCAAUAAUGUUGAAAGAGAGCCCUUCAAAUUAGAAAAGUGAGGAUGAUCUUGUCAAUGCUGAGAUUUUCAUGCAUCAACAGCCACUACAUCUGGAUCAGAUUGAACAAGAAACAGACAGCAAGGGUUGUCAGAUCAGAAACAGAAUGACACAAAAACACAAGAAACUUCACAGGCAGAUCAACAUGCAAUUUGAAGGCGUGUGAUAAAAUACAGAGAGGUGAAGUAGUGUGUCUUUCCAGAUCCCCAAAUCAUUCCCCCUUAAAAGAUGAGCCUGAAGAGGAGAUUUGGGAAGAUGCUGUUUCAUAAGUCGCUUUGCCAGAUCACCUGUGGUCGGGAUGUCUGCUAACAAGAUGCCUUGCUGGUCUGAGCGAGUUUAAAGUCUUACACAGACAGUCCAGAAGUUCUGAAGUCCAUCUUCGAUUUCAUUGAUGUUGUCAUCGUAUUAAGUACAGCAUGAGCCAGAAUAGAUGGGUGGUGGUGGCCAUAAGAAGACUGUCAACUAAACCAACAACAAAAUUCAUAUUUGCAGUUUUUCUUGAAUAAAGUUUUUCUAUUCAGAUUAAUAAAAUGACUUUUAAACAUGA